AAUAGAGUUUUAGAUCUAAGCAAAAAUGAGAGAAAAUCACCUCUCAAGUCUCUUGUUUUUCUAUUUCUUCUAGUUUUUAAUAUGUUUCUUCUCUUGAUUACAAAGAUGCAAGUGGCGAUGGGACGGUGGCAGGUGCGGCGCGGAGUGGCGGUGGCAGAGACCAAAAGUCGUCGAGCUAGGGAUAGGGGGCUGCUGCGCUAGGCUAGGGUUAGGUCUGUUAGGGCUGGUAGCUGGGUUAGGUUUAGGUUAGUUGGGCUUGGUUUUGCUGGGUUAGGUCUGUUAGGGUUUGUAAUGGGCCCGGGCAAAUGAAAAUUGGGUUGUACAUCCAUUUUCAAUUAUUCUUUGUUUGAUAAAUCAAUCAAAUCAUGUGCUGCUAAAUUCUACUUUAAA